GAUGAACGCUGGCGGCGUGCCUAAUACAUGCAAGUCGAGCGAACAGACGAGGAGCUUGCUCCUCUGACGUUAGCGGCGGACGGGUGAGUAACACGUGGAUAACCUACCUAUAAGACUGGGAUAACUUCGGGAAACCGGAGCUAAUACCGGAUAAUAUAUUGAACCGCAUGGUUCAAUAGUUAAAGACGGUUUUGCUGUCACUUAUAGAUGGAUCCGCGCCGCAUUAGCUAGUUGGUAAGGUAACGGCUUACCAAGGCAACGAUGCGUAGCCGACCUGAGAGGGUGAUCGGCCACACUGGAACUGAGACACGGUCCAGACUCCUACGGGAGGCAGCAGUAGGGAAUCUUCCGCAAUGGGCGAAAGCCUGACGGAGCAACGCCGCGUGAGUGAUGAAGGUCUUCGGAUCGUAAAACUCUGUUAUUAGGGAAGAACAAAUGUGUAAGUAACUAUGCACGUCUUGACGGUACCUAAGCAGAAAGCCACGGCUAACUACGU
rnacentral:rRNA from 1 species